GCCUUGCUUGCUCCCCAGGGGCGGCUGGUUCUCUCCAACAAGAUGGCCCGCACCAUCGGCUUCUUCUACACACUGUUCCUGCACCUCCUGGUCUUCCUGGUGCUCUACAAGCUGGCGUGGAGCGAGAGCAUGGAACGGGACUGUGCCACCUUCUGCGCCAAGAAGUUCGCCGACCACCUGCACAAGUUCCACGAGGAUGACAAGGGGGUGGCCGCCAACGACCUGUGGCAGUGAUGUCCCCAGGCUUCCCCGACUCAACAGUGAUGGCUGCGUUCCCCUGCUUGUUCAGUUGCUUCUAAUGACUUAGGCUUCCCUGGAGAAUCCCCCAUGUAGAUGACUCUUGCCCUCCACCCAACAGUGCCAGAGGUCCCCAAAGUCUCCUUGGGCUCCCUUAAAAGAGGGUCUUAGCCUCAUCAGGUUCCCUAAGUCCAGAAAGCUCUCAAGGCCAAGCCAGGCUGGGCCUCAGGGACCCCCCCCCUCAAGUCCAUCUCAAGCUGGUGACCCAGCUUGGGUCCCACCCAGCAGCCUGACCUCUAGCCCUAGGGAUAGAGACCUCUUGGCUGUGAUACUGAGUUCCCACUGAUUCUGGCCAUGAUUAAUCCAGUGGGGGUCCCCCGGGCCGUCCCAGGAUCCCCUUGGGCUCCCCUCAGAUCCAUCACCAUCCCCCCAAGGCAUGGAAGCUCUUCCUGGAAGGACAGCGGGGUUUGAGUCCAGCCCCCUGCACCUUCCUUUAUCAUGGCCCCACCCAACCCCUAAAAGAAAGGGAACCGCAGAGGGCAAGAUAGUUUGUUACCCCCUCCCAACUCCUUAGACGCACUAUGAUUUUUGCUUUCUUCUUUAGCAAGAUAUUCUGGCUCACUGCUCUCCAGUGAGCACCCACGCCCCAGGCUCUUCAGACCCAAGGACUGGUCUGAGGGGCCCCGGGGGCUUCUCGGCCACGAGCUGGAGGUGGGCCAUCCUGGCAUGGCCACCCCGGGGCCACUGGCAGAUCUUCCUAAGUUAGGUUUGCACCUGCGUGUUCAGCUUUGCACAUCUGGAAUAAAUGCCUUGUUGCAGCCACACC